rnacentral:rRNA from 1 species
AAAGAUUAAGCCAUGCAUGUGUAAGUAGAGUUGAUAUAAAGCGAAACUGCGAACGGCUCAUUACAACAGAUAUAAUUUACUUGUUCUACUCCUUUAAACGGAUAACUGCGGUAAUUCUGGAGCCAAUACGUGCCAAAAGUCGUAUUCAGCAAUGAGUAUGAUGCACUUAUCGGAGCAAAACCUUUCCUGGUUUAAUGCUAACUCUGGAUAACACUGCUUAUCGCAUGACCUUGUGUCGGCGAAGUUACAUUCAAGUAUCUGCCUUAUCAACUUUCGAUGGUAGUGUAUUGGACUGCCAUGGUGUUGACGGGUAACGGAGAAUCAGGGUUCGACUCCGGAGAGGGAGCCUUAGAAACGGCUACCAGUUCUAAGGAACGCAGCAGGCGCGAAACUUAUCCACUGUUCAUUGAACGAGAUAGUGACGAGAAAUAACAAGUCCGUUCUCUAUGAGGUCGGACAUUGGAAUGGACGGAAUCUAAACAAUUUCGUGAGUACCCACGAGAGGGCAAGUCUGGUGCCAGCAGCCGCGGUAAUUCCAGCUCUCGUAAUGUAUAGAAUUAUUGUUGCGGUUAAAAAGUUCGUAGUUGGAUUUUCGACUGUUCGAGGGUCGGCCCUAACGGGACGUACUUUCGGCAGUGUUUGCAUUUGAUUUGGAAGCAGUUUCAAAUAGAAUGCGGAUUACUUUGAACGGCUUAAGUGCUCAAGGCGAGUCUUCGGACUGAAUACCGGUGCAUGGAAUAAUGGAACAAGGUUUCGGCCGAGUUUUAUUGGUUUUGUCGGCUAAAACAAUGGUUAACAGGAACAGCUGGGGGCACUCGUAUCGCUGCGCGAGAGGUGAAAUUCGUGGACCGCAGCGAGACGCCCUAAAGCGAAAGCAUUUGCCAAGAAUC